AUUGAACGCUGGCGGCAUGCCUUACACAUGCAAGUCGAACGGUAACAGGUCUUCGGAUGCUGACGAGUGGCGAACGGGUGAGUAAUACGUCGGAACGUGCCUAGUAGUAGGGGAUAACUACUCGAAAGAGUGGCUAAUACCGCAUGAGAUCUACGGAUGAAAGCAGGGGAUCGCAAGACCUUGUGCUACUAGAGCGGCCGAUGGCAGAUUAGGUAGUUGGUGGGAUAAAAGCUUACCAAGCCGACGAUCUGUAGCUGGUCUGAGAGGACGAUCAGCCACACUGGGACUGAGAAACGGCCCAGACUCCUACGGGAGGCAGCAGUGGGGAAUUUUGGACAAUGGGCGCAAGCCUGAUCCAGCAAUGCCGCGUGCAGGAUGAAGGCCUUCGGGUUGUAAACUGCUUUUGUACGGAACGAAAAGCCCCGGGUUAAUACCCUGGGGUCAUGACGGUACCGUAAGAAUAAGCACCGGCUAACUACGUGCCAGCAGCCGCCGUAA
rnacentral:rRNA from 1 species